rnacentral:rRNA from 1 species
GACGAACGCUGGCGGCGUGCUUAACACAUGCAAGUCGAACGGAAAGGCCCUGCUUUUGUGGGGUGCUCGAGUGGCGAACGGGUGAGUAACACGUGAGUAACCUGCCCUUGACUUUGGGAUAACUUCAGGAAACUGGGGCUAAUACCGGAUAGGAGCUCCUGCUGCAUGGUGGGGGUUGGAAAGUUUCGGCGGUUGGGGAUGGACUCGCGGCUUAUCAGCUUGUUGGUGGGGUAGUGGCUUACCAAGGCUUUGACGGGUAGCCGGCCUGAGAGGGUGACCGGCCACAUUGGGACUGGGAUGCGGCCCAGACUCCUACGGGAGGCAGCAGUGGGGAAUAUUGCACAAGGGGCGGAGGCCUGAGGCAGCAACGCCGCGUGCGGGAGGACGGCCUUCGGGUUGUAAACCGCUUUCGCCUGUGACGAAGCGUGAGGGACGGUAAUGGGUAAAGAAGCACCGGCUAACUACGU